rnacentral:rRNA from 1 species
GUGGGGAAUAUUGGACAAUGGGCGAAAGCCUGAUCCAGCCAUGCCGCGUGUGUGAAGAAGGUCUUCGGUUUGUAAAGCACUUUAAGUUGGGAGGAAGGGCAGUAAGUUAAUACCUUGCUGUUUUGACGUUACCGACAGAAUAAGCACCGGCUAACUUCGUGCCAGCAGCCGCGGUAAUACGAAGGGUGCAAGCGUUAAUCGGAAUUACUGGGCGUAAAGCGCGCGUAGGUGGUUUUGUAAGUUGGAGGUGAAAUCCCCGGACUCAACCUGGGAACGGCCUCCAAAACUGCAUGACUAGAGUACGGUAGAGGGUAGUGGAAUUUCCUGUGUAGCGGUGAAAUGCGUAGAUAUAGGAAGGAACACCAGUGGCGAAGGCGACUACCUGGACUGAUACUGACACUGAGGUGCGAAAGCGUGGGGAGCAAACAGGAUUAGAAACCCUGGUAGUCC